GAAGACGCAGGGUCUUCCUAUCUUUGCAUCUGGCAUAUGUAAAAAACAGGCAAGACUAAAUCACAUAUUUAAAUCCAUAUUUAUUAAAUAUCCCUUGUUUUUCAUUCAGGAGAUACCAGAAGGGCCCAGGUCCUGGUGCACAGCAAAGCUUCUCAUUCUGGAAGCAGAGAACCUGGCACCCAAACCUAGGGCCAGAGGUCUGUCUGCCAGACCCACAGCCCAGGCCCAGAACUGGAAAUUCCUGACUCCUUCCAGAAGGGCAACAAGCGAGGUUUCAAACUUGCUCAAUUAAGGUGCCAAGGCUUGCAUUCAAAUUCAGCUCCACUCCUCACUAGGUGUAUUAACACAGGCAGGCCUCCUUCCUGCACACUUACCCCUGCACAGGUUCCAAGGAACAGCCUGGCAGCCACUGAAGGUAUCUUCUCUCAGGUCAGGUCCCCUCUAGCUCCAGCAUCUUGGGAUUGCUGCUGUAGAAACACUGACGGAUGGCAGGCACUCUUGUGCCAUGUGCUGGGUCAGGGACACAGAGUGAAGCCACUGGUGAGAGGUGGCUGUCAGGAACUGGCAGCUAACACGGUCGCCUCCCAGUUUCAUGGACA
rnacentral:lncRNA from 10 species